rnacentral:rRNA from 1 species
UGAUAAAGUAAUGUGUAAUUGCAAGAAUUCAGUGAAUCAUCGAAUUCUUUGAACGCACAUUGCCGCCCCCUGGUUAUUCCGGAGGGGCACACCUGUUCGAGCGCCUAUUUCCAACCCCUACAACGGCCCGGCUUCGGUGAGUCGGGCCCCGCCCGCGGGGCGGGCCCGAAAACUCGCAGGCGUCACCGUCCUGGCCUCAAGCGUAGACAAAACCCUCGCUUGGAUGCCGGGUGGCGGCCGCCUGGAACGUAUUUUAUUUACAAGGUUGGCCUCGGAUCAGGUGGGGAUACCCGCUGAACUUAA